rnacentral:pre_miRNA from 1 species
UACAAUGUUUUAACUUUUCGUCUUAUUUAAAAUUUUUUGUGAUGAAUAUUUUUAUUAUUACUAGAUAAUAAAAUAUGAACAAUACUUUAUGCGUAACUAAUUUUUUUAAGUUUUUACAAUUUUUUUAAAUAAAACGAAUGGUCAAAUGUUGGACACGGAAACACA